GUAUUGAUUGCGUAUAACCGCAAAAAAGAAAACAUUCUGUAUUGUGUCAAGUUUUAUGUGAAAACGCAAGCCCCCCCUCUGAACGAGCCAAAAGGGGGACCCACGCGGUGGUGCACAGGGUGAGAUGGAUUGUUUGAAAAUGCUCGGGCGUGCACGACCAAAAGUCAGCGACAGCCCUUGCACCUCAGUUUUACAAUAAUGAUCCUUCCGCAGGUUCACCUACGGAAA
rnacentral:misc_RNA from 1 species